rnacentral:tRNA from 1 species
GGUUCUGUGGUGUAAUGGUUAGCACUUAGGACUCUGAAUCCAAGAAUCCGAGUUCAAGCCCCGGCUGGACCA